rnacentral:rRNA from 1 species
GAUGAACGCUGGCGGCGUGCCUAAUACAUGCAAGUCGAGCGAACGGACGAGAAGCUUGCUUCUCUGAUGUUAGCGGCGGACGGGUGAGUAACACGUGGAUAACCUACCUAUAAGACUGGGAUAACUUCGGGAAACCGGAGCUAAUACCGGAUAAUAUUUUGAACCGCAUGGUUCAAAAGUGAAAGACGGUCUUGCUGUCACUUAUAGAUGGAUCCGCGCUGCAUUAGCUAGUUGGUAAGGUAACGGCUUACCAAGGCAACGAUGCAUAGCCGACCUGAGAGGGUGGUCGGCCACACUGGAGCUGAGACACGGUCCAGACUCCUACGGGAGGCAGCAGUAGGGAAUCUUCCGCAAUGGGCGAAAGCCUGACGGAGCAACGCCGCGUGAGUGAUGAAGGUCUUCGGAUCGUAAAACUCUGUUAUUAGGGAAGAACAUAUGUGUAAGUAACUGUGCACAUCUUGACGGUACCUAAUCAGAAAGCCACGGCUAACUACGUG